rnacentral:rRNA from 1 species
AGUGAACGCUGGCGGUAGGCCUAACACAUGCAAGUCGAACGGCAGCACAGUAAGAGCUUGCUCUUACGGGUGGCGAGUGGCGGACGGGUGAGGAAUACAUCGGAAUCUACUUUUUCGUGGGGGAUAACGUAGGGAAACUUACGCUAAUACCGCAUACGACCUACGGGUGAAAGCAGGGGAUCUUCGGACCUUGCGCGAUUGAAUGAGCCGAUGUCGGAUUAGCUAGUUGGCGGGGUAAAGGCCCACCGAGGCGACGAUCGGUAGCUGGUCUGAGAGGAGGGUCGGCGACACUAGAACUGAGACACGGUCCAGGCUCCUGCGGGAGGCAGCAGUGGGGAAUAGUGGACAGUGGGCGCGAGCCUGAUCCAGCCAUACCGCGUGGGUGAAGAAGGCCUUCGGGUUGUAAAGCCCUUUUGUUGGGAAAGAAAAGCAGCAGGUUAAUACCCCGCUGUUCUGACGGUACCCAAAGAAUAAGCACCGGCUAACUUCGUG